rnacentral:lncRNA from 10 species
GGCAGGGUCAGAUGAGGAAAGAUACUCUGGGGAACUCACGCACGCAGAGGAAUAAGAGGAAGCAUCGUUUUGCAUGUAAAGCCAGGCUGAUCCAGAGCAGGCAGGUGGCAUGCAAGGCUGAGGGACUGGCAGGCUGGCAGCAUUGCCCAGAGGAGCUCAGUCUGGGAGCACAGAGACAGCGCAUCUCUGGGACCAGACUCUGCAGGCACAGAGUGAGGACCAGCAGCUCUCCUCUGGCUGCAGCCCUUGUAUAUAAGGCUGCAAAGCUGCAAUCAUCUCGAGGAACUCUGUGCAGCAGCAGGAGCUUAUCCCAGAGGGAAACACCUGGAGGAGCCCGGGAGUCAGGCAUCAUGGGCCGCGGGUCUCAGACUCUGUCCAAGAAGCAGUCAGGGGAAGAUGCCAUCUUUCCUCAGACCAUCACCCCUACGCUGGGCCUGGCUGCAUGGAGCGUCUGUGACUACUUGAUUAGGUUUAGACUCCCCAUUUAAAAAGGAAAUUCAGGCUCAUGAAAAAAGAUUUGGAAAAUACACAAAUAAUACUCAUUUGCACACUCAACAUCCACUGUUCUUGGCAUUUGGGUGUCCUUCCUUCUUUCCUUCCUUCCUUCCUUCC